UACGGAGGGGGCUAGCGUUAUUCGGAAUCACUGGGCGUAAAGCGCACGUAGGCGGAUCGGAAAGUCAGAGGUGAAAUCCCAGGGCUCAACCUUGGAACUGCCUUUGAAACUCCUGGUCUUGAGGUUGUGAGAGGUGAGUGGAAUUCCGAGUGUAGAGGUGAAAUUCGUAGAUAUUCGGAGGAACACCAGUGGCGAAGGCGGCUCACUGGCACGAUACUGACGCUGAGGUGCGAAAGCGAGGGGAGCAAAUGGG
rnacentral:rRNA from 1 species